AGAGUUUGAUCCUGGCUCAGGAUGAACGCUAGCGGGAGGCCUAACACAUGCAAGUCGAACGGGAUUGAGAGCUUGCUCUCAUGAGAGUGGCGCACGGGUGAGUAACGCGUAUGCAACCUACCUAUAACUGAGGGAUAGCCCAUAGAAAUGUGGAUUAAUACCUCAUAGUUCUUUUGUUCCGCAUGGGAUGAAAGAUGAAGCUCCGGCGGUUAUAGAUGGGCAUGCGUGACAUUAGCUAGUUGGUAAGGUAACGGCUUACCAAGGCUACGAUGUCUAGGGGUUCUGAGAGGAUGAUCCCCCACACUGGUACUGAGACACGGACCAGACUCCUACGGGAGGCAGCAGUGAGGAAUAUUGGUCAAUGGGCGCAAGCCUGAACCAGCCAUCCCGCGUGCAGGAUGAAGGCCCUAUGGGUCGUAAACUGCUUUUAUACACCAAGAAAAACACCCACGUG
rnacentral:rRNA from 1 species